GAACUGAAGAGUUUGAUCAUGGCUCAGAUUGAACGCUGGCGGCAGGCCUAACACAUGCAAGUCGAGCGGAUGAAGGGAGCUUGCUCCUGGAUUCAGCGGCGGACGGGUGAGUAAUGCCUAGGAAUCUGCCUGGUAGUGGGGGAUAACGUCCGGAAACGGGCGCUAAUACCGCAUACGUCCUGAGGGAGAAAGUGGGGGAUCUUCGGACCUCACGCUAUCAGAUGAGCCUAGGUCGGA
rnacentral:rRNA from 1 species